rnacentral:rRNA from 1 species
GGAAUCUUAGACAAUGGGGGAAACCCUGAUCUAGCCAUGCCGCGUGAGUGACGAAGGCCUUAGGGUUGUAAAGCUCUUUUACCAGGGAUGAUAAUGACAGUACCGGGAGAAUAAGCUCCGGCUAACUCCGUGCCAGCAGCCGCGGUAAUACGGAGGGAGCUAGCGUUGUUCGGAAAUACUGGGCGUAAAGCGCACGUAGGCGGCGCCGCAAGUCAGGGGUGAAAUCCCGGGGCUCAACCCCGGAACUGCCCUUGAAACUGCAGUGCUAGAAUUCUGGAGAGGCGAGUGGAAUUCCGAGUGUAGAGGUGAAAUUCGUAGAUAUUCGGAAGAACACCAGUGGCGAAGGCGACUCGCUGGACAGACAUUGACGCUGAGGUGCGAAAGCGUGGGGAGCAA